UUUUCAUCAUUUAUUUUAAAAACUAAUAUUUUUACUGAGAAUUUUUACAUAGCCAAUCACGUAACGCCUAUUAUAAUACCCAUUCAUUCCUUAUUACAACGUUCUACUAUUCUCUAGAUCUGAUGUAAACAUCCGGGGGUUUGGUACUAUCAUUCCUAUAGCUAUGUUGUCAACAGCACGUACCUCCUGUCUUUUAUGUAGGCCUAUGUCUUUGUGUUUAUUGUCCUGCCUGUUUACCCGCGUAUAUGUUCAUACAUAUGUACCAUGCAUUCUUAGCUGUUAUUUAAAAAAUAUAUAAAAUAUUUUAUAUACAUGUAUGUUCUAAAUAACAGAAAAAAACCCAAAAAGUAAUGUGGCCAUAAAUGUUGAAUAAGAUUUCAAAUAAUUAUAAUUCAUGUUAUAUCAAUUGUUUAAGUCUUAAAUACUUACUUUCUUUUAUCUAUAUUGUUUCAAAUUUAUGUUAAUUGAUAAUAAGCCUCACAGGCAGCUAAUAAGUACUUAAAUUACAUAUCUUUACAUGUUUCGACUUCUUCUUGUGACACCUGUGAGCGUUUCAAUUACAUAAUAUGAACAAUGCUUAUCAACGCUAAUUAAACUCAUUGUUAUUUGUUUAUUUCAUUUUAUCCAUGCCAAUAAGUAAUUAAAUAACCAAUUAAAGUUUGUAUUUUGAGAUUAUCUUAAUGGGCUUGACUUUGUGAUUAUCGACGAAAUAAAACCAAACGCCAAACGCAAAUUGUCACCUUUUGACAUUUGCUAUUCCAAAUUAAUGAACUCUAUAUUUUUGCUUUAAUUUUAUAUUUGGUUUUAUUUCGAAGGUAAAUAUAUUUUUAUUUUAUGUUAUUUUCCUUUGUCAAUUUUAAGAAAUGUUUUACUGUGAAUUGAUACGACCUUUUGACAUUUGCUAUUCCAAAUUAAUAAACUUUAUAUUUU
rnacentral:sRNA from 1 species